rnacentral:rRNA from 1 species
AUGGUGGUUUUGCUCGCCUAUAAAUUCUUUUCACCUUCCCAUCUUCUCUUCACACACACACAGACACACUCACACUCACAAGGAGAAGAAGAGCACACAAGAAGAGGAAAGGACAACACGGAAAGAAGAGCCAUGGAGCACUCCUACAGCAGCAACAGCGGCAUCAGCAACUACGGCAGCACAAAGGAGAGGAGGCCUGCGCUGAAGAGGGGGCAGCUGAAGCGGCAGAUCGUGAGGACCAUCAGCAACCUCAUGUCGCCGAGGAACGACGGCGCGGGCGCGGGCAAAGGGGCGUCAGGCCGCACCAGCUUCGGCGCCUACAACUGA